AGUUUCAACAAUUUCUAGUCUCCUCAUCUGCUCUAUCUUGUCUAGGGCUGAAAUUUGGUUUAAAGUGUUAAGUUUUUCCAUCCUUAAAUUGCCAUUAGUAACCAGAUUCCAUUCCCUGAGCUUAGACUUCAAUGCCUUCAAUUUCAUAGUAGGCUUUUGAGUUGCUCCAUUUCUCACAUUUCAAAGGUAGAGGCCAGUGAUCUGAAUUAUCCUUAGGAAGAAUUGAUUGGUUUAUGUUUGUAAAUCCCUCGUCCCAUUGAGCGGUGAAGAGGAAUCUAUCUUGAGUUCCACAUCUAGCCCAUGUGACGGUUCCACCAUUUAGAGGAGGAUCCACCAAUUCUGAAUCUUCGAUGAACUUUGAGAAAUCUUUCAUACUUCUAGACAAGGUGGUUGGGUUCUUUUUUUCAGAAAUGAACCUAGUUGUGUUGAAGUCUCCGCAAGUCACCCAUAACUCCUCGCAAAGACCCUUGGCUCAACCGAUCCCUUCCCACUAUUCUAAUCUUUCUUUUCUGGAAUUUGGCCCGUAGACACCAGUCAGACAACACUUGAAAUUCUGAUUUACUGCCUUGAAACUACAAGACAGAGAGUAUACCCCAACACAAAUGUGUUCCCCCUCCCAUAUUCUACUGUCCCACUUCCCCUCAUUGUUUCAGCAUGUCUGAAGUAGUUCUAGGAAUUACCCAACUAACCCAAGUAGACAUAAGAACAUGUCCCACUAAUUUACAACUGUUUUGAAGUGGAGGAAUAAGUGGACGUUAACCUCUGCCUCUUUUUCACAAAUAUAACACUUUGAGCAAAUCUGUAUACCUCUUCUUUGUACCACUUCAUGGGUUAAACAUGCUUUUCUGAUCACCAACCAUGUGAAACAUGACACCUUCUGAGAGACUUUGAUCUUCCAGAUUAGUUUCCAUGGCCAAUCCAUUCCCAUUGUUUGGCUAGAGUUCAUGUUCUAGUAACAAGAUUUCACAGUGAAACUCCCUUUGUGUGAAACUUCCAUAUUGGACAGUCAGGUCCCUCUGAGAUACCUAGAAAUACAUUCAACACCUGUAGGAUCCCUUCUACUCUACUAAUCUCCUAGUCAUUUAGAGGCCUCCUAAAAGUCAGGUCCAACCUUGAGGGCCCCAUAUCUGUGCCACUAGCCAUUUGUUGCAAGCUCAGAAUGUAUUGUUCCGAAUCCCGCACAUAGUGGGAGCUUUAGUGCAUCGAGCUGCCCUUUACUUAUACUGGGAUGCCCAUGGUGGUGUCUUGCUCAACUCUUCUAUCAUUUCUCUGUAGACUCCGCAAUCACUAGUUGCUGGCUUAAUGUGGCUUGGAGUCAAGAAUGGGAGGUAUUUCAUGCGUCAUGUAUGCCAAGAUUCGGAUGAGUUGAAACAGUAUGGCUGGACUACUCAUAAUGGAUGGGACUAUGGACAUCAGGUUCUGAUUGAACAGACAAUGACCUUGACUACUAGUUUUCUGAAAUCCAAGGAUCGUGGUAGUGGCUAUGGUGGACACUGGUUUGUUCGAAUUGGAGUGCAGAGCAAUAAAUCUAUGUCUGAUGAGGAAAUGUUAAACCCCGCGCACUUAUUUUUCUAUGUGGCUGAUGAAAGUGGGAAAGGUCUUACUUUGGGUAGUGGAGUCUUGGAUAUCCAUGGUGAUUCUAUCUUGGCAUCAGGAUCACGUAGGGACAUUGGAAACUAGCAGCUCCAUUUAUUUUCAGAGGGCUCAUUCUUGGGGUAGCACUCCCAAUAGGAUUUUCUCAUACCCAGGACUCGAACCCGAGACCUCUGAUUAAGGAUGGAGUAGUCCCACCACUACACCACAAUCCAUCUUUUGGAGCCGUGUUUCUCUGGUUAAGUUGCUGGUUUGGAUGCUAAUGGAUUCAUUACAAAAUAUAUAUCGAGGACAUUUUCUCGUGUUUCUCUCAGUUAUUUAUUUCUCACAUGGGAUUUAUGCAUUUACAAUCUUUAUGAAAAUAUGAAUAUGUUAUGAUUUCUUGCAAAGGAACGAGUCACAGGAAAAUCUAAAUCAAUUGCCUUUGAUUUCCCUUUUCUUUUGUUAGAAUUCCUAGAGCGACCUAUUUUGUAUUCCUUUUCUUUUGUUAGAAUUCCUAGAGCGACCUAUUUUGUAUAACGAUAUUUGAUAUAUAAAUUCAGCUCGUUAAAAGGGAGACUGAAACCUUAGAGUUCA